rnacentral:lncRNA from 1 species
UGGCCCCGGACGGGCAGCGAGGGGCCGCGCGCAGGGACCGGCCCCGGGCACCCCCUGGUCCCCCGAGCGGAUUUCCACGCGGAGAGGAUGUUGGCAGCCCCGGCGACCUGCCGAGACACAGCGGGAUCCACCUUCCAGCCUGACCUUUUGACCAGAGAGGAAUGAAAAAGUUGCCCCUUAUGAUGGCUGUGCCUGGUCAGUUGCCUGGAGCUGCGUUCAAGGAUUUCCGGAACCUUAUGGAUUUACAGUGAUUCUCAGCUGCCUGGGGAAUGACGGUGGAGGAAGCGUUCUCUGCAGUCACGUGCACGCGGCGCACGUUUGGAUGCUAACGGCGGUUUUAAGGAAGGCCCUGGCUGCGUACCUGGCGGAUCCCUGCAGCCUGAAUGCCCGCGGGGGACAGAGGACCGUGGCUUCCUGUGAUGGCUGAGUUCUCUGCCUUUAUCUCCGCACGAGUGAUUGGUUGGGUGGCUGCCAGCCUCACCGAGGGCGCCCUGUGAAACACUCCUGUCUUACCUCGGAUUUCGGUGCUGUCAGUCUGAAAAACAGACGUCCAUUUGGUACUCUAGAUGGACUGUCCUUCCCUGACCUAAAGCUGGGCCAUUUGGAGAUUUGGAGAACAAAGGUUGUUGGCUGUGAUUGUAGCAGAGUCCUGAGCUCCUGUGGAGAUUUGCCUCUCUCCAGCCUUGGGCUAUCUGCAUUCUUGAACAGCUCAGGACCCAGAAGGAAAAGAAGAAUGCUGACCCGCUCUGGGGAUGGCCUGAAUGAAGAGAGCGCGAUUCCUGGUGGUGGCGGCCUCGGCCUGAAGCAGCCUGGCCCUACGCUGGAAACAUUGUCUUCCCGCGGCUCGGGAGCGGGAACGCAGCCCCUGGCUGAGUGUGAGAGAACUGCUCAGAGAUGUUAA